GGCGGACGGGUGAGUAACGCGUAGGAAUCUAGUCCUUGGAAUGGGGGGACAACCGUGGGAAACUACGGCUAAUACCGCAUGAUGCCUGAGGGCCAAAGACGAAAGUCGUUGAGGAGGAGCCUGCGUCUGAUUAGGUAGUUGUGGGGUAAAGGCCUACCAAGCCUGCGAUCAGUAGCUGGUCUGAGAGGAUGAUCAGCCACACUGGGACUGAGACACGGCCCAGACUCCUACGGGAGGCAGCAUGGGGAAUAUUGGACAAUGGGCGCAAGCCUGAUCCAGCAAUGCCGCGUGGGUGAAGAAGGUCUUCGGGAUUGUAAAAGCCCUUUUGGCGGGGACGAUGAUGACGGUACCCGCAGAAUAAGCUCCGGCUAACUUCGUG
rnacentral:rRNA from 1 species